GUGCCAGCAGCCGCGGUAAUACGGAGGGUGCAAGCGUUAAUCGGAAUUACUGGGCGUAAAGCGCGCGUAGGUGGCUUGAUAAGCCGGUUGUGAAAGCCCCGGGCUCAACCUGGGAACGGCAUCCGGAACUGUCAGGCUAGAGUGCAGGAGAGGAAGGUAGAAUUCCCGGUGUAGCGGUGAAAUGCGUAGAGAUCGGGAGGAAUACCAGUGGCGAAGGCGGCCUUCUGGACUGACACUGACACUGAGGUGCGAAAGCGUGGGUAGCAAACAGGAUUAGAUACCCUGGUAGUCCACGCCGUAAACGAUGUCGACCAGCCGUUGGGUGCCUAGAGCACUUUGUGGCGAAGUUAACGCGAUAAGUCGACCGCCUGGGGAGUACGGCCGCAAGGUUAAAACUCAAAUGAAUUGACGG
rnacentral:rRNA from 1 species